AACGAACGCUGGCGGCAUGCCUUACACAUGCAAGUCGAACGAUACCUUCUCUUCUAGUGGCUCCCGGUUGCGUACCGCUUGGUAAUCUGCCCUUAGGUUCCGAAUCACUCCCCGAAAGGGGUCCUAAUCCCUGCUAAUAUCUCCUGCCCACAGAUUUAUCGCCUUUGGGUGGGGCCGCCUUGGCUUAGCUAGUUGGUAGGGUAAAAGCCUACCAAGGCGACGAUCCAUAGCUGUUCAGAGAGGAUGAUCUGCCACACUGGGACUGAGACACGGCCCAGACUCCUACGGGAGGCAGCAGUGGGGAAUACAGGAAAAUGGGGGAAAGACUGAAGCAGCAAUGGCGCGAGAGUGAUGAAGGACUUAGGGUUGUAAAGCUCUUUAAUACGGGAUGAUAAUGACAGUACCGGGAGAAUAAGCACCGGCUAACUACGUG
rnacentral:rRNA from 1 species